rnacentral:rRNA from 1 species
UACGAAGGGGGCUAGCGUUGCUCGGAAUCACUGGGCGUAAAGCGCACGUAGGCGGAUUGCUAAGUCAGGGGUGAAAUCCUGGAGCUCAACUCCAGAACUGCCUUUGAUACUGGCGAUCUUGAGUCCGGGAGAGGUGAGUGGAACUGCGAGUGUAGAGGUGAAAUGCGUAGAUAUCGUAAGGAAGACCAGUGGCGAAGGCGGGUCUCUGGACAGUUCCUGACGCUGAGGCACGAAGGUCAGGGGAGCAAACGGG